rnacentral:rRNA from 1 species
ACACGACUCUCGGCAACGGAUAUCUCGGCUCUCGAUCGAUGAAGAACGUAGCGAAAAGCGAUACCUGGUGUGAAUUGCAGAAUCCCGCGAACCAUCGAGUCUUUGAACGCAAGUUGCGCCCGAGGCCACUCGGCCGAGGGCACGCCUGCCUGGGCGUCACGC